GCCACCAUGGCAUAGUGGUUUGAGUGUUGGACUACAGCUCUGGAGACCAGGGUUUGAAUCCCAGCUUAGCCA
rnacentral:tRNA from 1 species